UAUAAAAAACUAGAAUACUACUUUUACAUGUAAUGUCCAUUUCCUCAUGCAUAAUAUCACCAAAUUAAAAAGAUCAUUUUACUAUGUUACCAAAUACCAAAGAAUCAAUGUCAUUCUCAAGCAGAAAGAGUAGUGUGAAUGUGAGGGUUCCGCCAGUUAGAGGAAGAAUCAAGAGACGAAUAUUUGCUACUGUUUUUCGUGAAUUCAAGCGAUGUUCGAGUAAACACAUAUAUAGGUGGUUGCAUUAAGAGAACGAGGCAAGAUUUUUAUCCUAAAAAUUCAUCUUCUACUAUAUAUACAACGUAAUUUUUAUGUAAAUUAAAGAUGGCUUGACCCCCGGCCCUCUAGCUCCAACCCUAGCUAGUUGUAUACAGGGAAUUGAAAUUUAUCAACUUUGAGUUUGUUUUGUUUUCUUUCUUUUUCAACUAGUAUUUGGAGCCUCUAAAAUUAUACCGUGGGAGUUAUCUUAAAAUGCAUUUUUAGUUUUACCUUAAUUUGGCUAAGGUGAACAUAUAUGAUUAAAGGCAGUUAAUACUGUAUACUGUAACAUCUUAAAUGCUGAAAUUAUAUGUUUUGGAUAUAAAUAUAAUAAAAAUUUGUUGUGAUUUAUUUUUUAAACAAGUUUUUGAAUCGACCCUUUUUUAUUUGUAAAAAUGGACUUAGUGUCAUUAAAGUUGUAUAUAUUUUCACCUGAUGUCUGACUAAAUUUAGAUAAUGGCCCAUUACUUAUAAAAACAUAAAAAGUCAAUCGUUAAUUUGAAACGACCAACGAAUUUUGGAUAGUUUCAACUUAUAACGCUUACCUAAAUUGGCUAAACACAAACACCAAAUGCAAGCAGGAGUAAUAAUUAGUAGAUCUAAGAAAAUGUUAGAAAAAAUAUACGACUUACAUGACCACGGUUGGUUUCCACGAGAGAACCAGAUAAGCUUGAAGCAAAAUUGACUCCAUCAAUAAAUCCUUCCUUGUCAAUUUGGAAAUAAGAUGGAAUGAGUGGCAAAUUAGCGUAUUCCGCUACAAACAAUAACACAACAGACCAUAAGUUACAUCUCCACAACUUCAAUAAUCAACUAUAUAUAUAUAUGAGAAAAAUGAUAAAUAUACUUCCAAAUUAUCGUAAAUCAUAUGCAAAUACCCUUCGUCAUACUUUUGGGACAUUGUUGUCCUGCCAUCCAAAAACUACUUUAUACUAACGGACAUACACAUGUCAUAAUUUUAUCCACCGACCCGACAUUUAUUAAAUAUUGAAUCGACGGAUAAGACUGUGUCACGUGUCCCUAUUUAGUCUUCUGUUAGAGUGAAGGGCAUAUAUGCUCUAGUUUUUUAACGGCAGGGACAUCAAUGUCUCAAAAAGUAUGACGGAGGGUAUCUGUCUACGAUUUACGAUAGUCUAGGGUAUAUUUGUCCCUUUUCCAUAUGGAAAAAAGACAAAUAUACCCCAAACUAUCGUAAAUCGUAUGCAGAUACCCUCCGUCAUACUUUUGGGAUAUUGAUACCCCAUUUUUGGCUAGCUAAAUCAACAUGUACGAUUGAGCCGACAAAAUCAAGAUAUGUCGUAUUUUUACAAAUUAGAUUAGAUUAAUACAAUUUUAUAUUAAUUGAAUUUGAAUUUUAUAAGAAUUUAUACACUUGCCCUUAUUUGACCGGCUCCAACAAGUCAUCUCCGGGCCUCUUUUUAAUAUUACUACUCCAUCAGUUAUCACCUUUCUAUGCAAAUGUCUCUUUUUAAGGACAUAAUAUAAUUCAUAUUUUUAAAAGUAGGGUAAAUAUAGCUCUAAGAAAAUUAUCCAAUCGGUCAAUGUUAUAUUUAGGUCUAAUGUUUGUUUAUAUAUAUAUCAAUCUUACUUAUAAAAUAUUAGACUGUUGUCUAGCAUUUAUAAUAACAUGUAAAAUUUUAGAGCAUAAACUAACAUUUUUUCAUAAAAUUUUCAGUUUGUUGAAAUGAAUCUUUAAACCAUAAUUUGCAAAAGAAAUAUAUUCUAAAAGAUAGUCAUUUACUAAAUAGAUGUUGAAAGAAAGAGACAAGUUGUGAAAAUUUCUGAUAGUUAAUUAUUGUGUGGGUUUUUAAAGUGACAUGGUUACUGUAAAAGAAAAAAGAUUGACUCGGAAAGAAAUGACUUCUAAUUAUGUACAAAAAGUGUUAAUAACUUCUAAUAAUAUAUACUAGUAGUAUUGUUUAGUUGGUUAAAUUGAUGAUCUUACUUACCUAUAAAAUCAGAUAUGAGACGCCCAUCAGAUGGUCUACCAGUUGGAUAUUUGAAGAAUGAUUCACCAUAAGGCCACCAAUUUGAUUGAUAAUCACUAGUAGUGUUGAUGUAAUUAUUAUUUCCAGGAUCCAGUAUCGAAUCACCGAACACAAAGAGGGAUGCCGUAUCAGCUAGUUUUCUAUUGCACUCAACACACCCUAAUAAUAUUAUUGCAACCAAAAUGCAAAUGAAGCCAUGAAACAAGUUUGAGUUGAUAGCCAUUUGAGGAGUACCUAUUGACUUUCUAUAGCUACAUAUUUAUACACUACAUGUCAACAAGCUGCUACCCUCAUGUUUCAUGAAUUUUAUAUUUCCCAUCAUGGAUGGCUGC
rnacentral:lncRNA from 1 species